UACGUAGGGUGCGAGCGUUAAUCGGAAUUACUGGGCGUAAAGCGUGCGCAGGCGGUUUUGUAAGCCAGAUGUGAAAUCCCCGGGCUCAACCUGGGAAUGGCAUUUGGGACUGCAAGGCUGGAGUGCGGCAGAGGAGACUGGAAUUCCUGGUGUAGCAGUGAAAUGCGUAGAUAUGCGGAGGAACACCGAUGGCGAAGGCAAUCCCCUGGGCCUGCACUGACGCUCAUGCACGAAAGCGUGGGGAGCAAACAGG
rnacentral:rRNA from 1 species